rnacentral:miRNA from 10 species
ACAAGUCGGUUGUGAUGGGUCUG